ensembl:snRNA U1 U1 spliceosomal RNA
AUACUUAUUGACAGGGGAGAUACCAUGAUCACAAAGGUGGUUUUCCCAGGGCGAGGCUUAUCCGUUGCAUUCUGGAUGUGCUGACUCCUGAGAUUUCCCCAAAUGUGGGAAACUCGACUGCAUAAUUUGUGGUAGUGGAGGACUGUUCACGCUUUUCCCAG